rnacentral:rRNA from 1 species
UUCUGCACCUAAAAAUUAUCUUAAUCCAACAUCGAGGUCGCAAUCUUUUUUGUCGAUUAGUUCUCUCAAAAAAUAUUACGCUGUUAUCCCUUAAGUAACUUAACCUUAUAAUCACAAAUUAUGGAUCAAAUCAAUAAUAAUUGUUUAAAAAAAGUUUCAUAAAUUUUCCUAUCGCCCCAAUAAAAUAUAAUAUAAAGCUUUAAAGGGUCUUCUCGUCCUUUAACUUAAUUUAAGCUUUUUAACUUAAAAAUUAAUUUCUAUAACAACUAUAUAAAGACAGUCUAUAUUUCAUUCAAUCAUUCAUUCAAGCUUCUAAUUAAGAAACUAUUGAUUAUGCUACCUUUGCACGGUCAAAAU